UCUAAUUGCUCCUGUAAAUUGCUCUGGAUAAGAGCGUCUGCUAAAUGACUUAAA
rfam:Salmo salar isolate Sally breed double haploid chromosome ssa06, whole genome shotgun sequence.